AUACGGAGGAUCCGAGCGUUAUCCGGAUUUAUUGGGUUUAAAGGGUGCGCAGGCGGCCAUUUAAGUCAGCGGUUAAAUCGUGGGGCUCAACCCCAUUCUGCCGUUGAUACUGGGUGGCUUGAUUGCGGUCGAGGUUGGCGGAAUUCGUUGUGUAGCGGUGAAAUGCAUAGAUAUGACGAAGAACACCGAUUGCGUAGGCAGCUGACCAGACCGCAAAUGACGCUCAUGCACGAAAGUGCGGGGAUCGAACAGGAUUAGAUACCCUGGUAGUCCACGCAGUAAACGAUGAUUACUAGCUGUUUGCGAUAUACAGUAAGUGGCACAGCGAAAGCGUUAAGUAAUCCACCUGGGGAGUACGCCGGCAACGGUGAAACUCAAAGGAAUUGACGGGG
rnacentral:rRNA from 1 species